rnacentral:rRNA from 1 species
GGGUUGUGAGGUUAAGCGACUAAGCGUACACGGUGGAUGCCCUGGCAGUCAGAGGCGAUGAAGGACGUGCUAAUCUGCGAUAAGCGCCGGUAAGGUGAUAUGAACCGUUAUAACCGGCGAUUUCCGAAUGGGGAAACCCAGUGUGACUCGUCACACUAUCAUUAACUGAAUCCAUAGGUUAAUGAGGCGAACCGGGGGAACUGAAACAUCUAAGUACCCCGAGGAAAAGAAAUCAACCGAGAUUCCCCCAGUAGCGGCGAGCGAACGGGGAGGAGCCCAGAGCCUGAAUCAGCAUGUGUGUUAGUGGAAGCGUCUGGAAAGGCGCGCGAUACAGGGUGACAGCCCCGUACACAAAAGCGCAUGUGUUGUGAGCUCGAUGAGUAGGGCGGGACACGUGGUAUCCUGUCUGAAUAUGGGGGGACCAUCCUCCAAGGCUAAAUACUCCUGACUGACCGAUAGUGAACCAGUACCGUGAGGGAAAGGCGAAAAGAACCCCGGCGAGGGGAGUGAAAAAGAACCUGAAACCGUGUACGUACAAGCAGUGGGAGCCCCACCACUAAGCCAGUGGUGAACUCCACAUACGCAUCCUUUGCUGAAGGUGCGGUUAACGGAGCGCAAGCGACGUUCAACCUCAAAAGAAGCAGAGGGGGCUUAGUGGUGGGGUGACUGCGUACCUUUUGUAUAAUGGGUCAGCGACUUAUAUUCUGUAGCAAGGUUAACCGCAUAGGGGAGCCGGAGGGAAACCGAGUCUUAAUUGGGCGUUAAGUUGCAGGGUAUAGACCCGAAACCCGGUGAUCUAGCCAUGGGCAGGUUGAAGGUUGGGUAACACUAACUGGAGGACCGAACCGACUAAUGUUGAAAAAUUAGCGGAUGACCUGUGGCUGGGGGUGAAAGGCCAAUCAAACCGGGAGAUAGCUGGUUCUCCCCGAAAGCUAUUUAGGUAGCGCCUCGUGAAUUCAUCUCCGGGGGUAGAGCACUGUUUCGGCUAGGGGGCCAUCCCGGCUUACCAACCCGAUGCAAACUGCGAAUACCGGAGAAUGUUAUCACGGGAGACACACGGCGGGUGCUAACGUCCGUCGUGAAGAGGGAAACAACCCAGACCGCCAGCUAAGGUCCCAAAGUCAUGGUUAAGUGGGAAACGAUGUGGGAAGGCCCAGACAGCCAGGAUGUUGGCUUAGAAGCAGCCAUCAUUUAAAGAAAGCGUAAUAGCUCACUGGUCGAGUCGGCCUGCGCGGAAGAUGUAACGGGGCUAAACCAUGCACCGAAGCUGCGGCAGCGACGCUGAUGCGUUGUUGGGUAGGGGAGCGUUCUGUAAGCCUGUGAAGGUGGCCUGUGAGGGUUGCUGGAGGUAUCAGAAGUGCGAAUGCUGACAUAAGUAACGAUAAAGCGGGUGAAAAGCCCGCUCGCCGGAAGACCAAGGGUUCCUGUCCAACGUUAAUCGGGGCAGGGUGAGUCGACCCCUAAGGCGAGGCCGAAAGGCGUAGUCGAUGGGAAACGGGUUAAUAUUCCCGUACUUGGUGUUACUGCGAAGGGGGGACGGAGAAGGCUAUGUUGGCCGGGCGACGGUUGUCCCGGUUUAAGCGUGUAGGUGUGUGUUCCAGGUAAAUCCGGUUCACUUUAACACUGAGGCGUGAUGACGAGGCACUACGGUGCUGAAGCAACAAAUGCCCUGCUUCCAGGAAAAGCCUCUAAGCAUCAGGUAACAUCAAAUCGUACCCCAAACCGACACAGGUGGUCAGGUAGAGAAUACCAAGGCGCUUGAGAGAACUCGGGUGAAGGAACUAGGCAAAAUGGUGCCGUAACUUCGGGAGAAGGCACGCUGACACGUAGGUGAAGUGAUUUACUCAUGGAGCUGAAGUCAGUCGAAGAUACCAGCUGGCUGCAACUGUUUAUUAAAAACACAGCACUGUGCAAACACGAAAGUGGACGUAUACGGUGUGACGCCUGCCCGGUGCCGGAAGGUUAAUUGAUGGGGUCAGCGCAAGCGAAGCUCCUGAUCGAAGCCCCGGUAAACGGCGGCCGUAACUAUAACGGUCCUAAGGUAGCGAAAUUCCUUGUCGGGUAAGUUCCGACCUGCACGAAUGGCGUAAUGAUGGCCAGGCUGUCUCCACCCGAGACUCAGUGAAAUUGAACUCGCUGUGAAGAUGCAGUGUACCCGCGGCAAGACGGAAAGACCCCGUGAACCUUUACUAUAGCUUGACACUGAACAUUGAGCCUUGAUGUGUAGGAUAGGUGGGAGGCUUUGAAGUGUGGACGCCAGUCUGCAUGGAGCCGACCUUGAAAUACCACCCUUUAAUGUUUGAUGUUCUAACGUGGACCCGUAAUCCGGGUUGCGGACAGUGUCUGGUGGGUAGUUUGACUGGGGCGGUCUCCUCCUAAAGAGUAACGGAGGAGCACGAAGGUUGGCUAAUCCUGGUCGGACAUCAGGAGGUUAGUGCAAUGGCAUAAGCCAGCUUGACUGCGAGCGUGACGGCGCGAGCAGGUGCGAAAGCAGGUCAUAGUGAUCCGGUGGUUCUGAAUGGAAGGGCCAUCGCUCAACGGAUAAAAGGUACUCCGGGGAUAACAGGCUGAUACCGCCCAAGAGUUCAUAUCGACGGCGGUGUUUGGCACCUCGAUGUCGGCUCAUCACAUCCUGGGGCUGAAGUAGGUCCCAAGGGUAUGGCUGUUCGCCAUUUAAAGUGGUACGCGAGCUGGGUUUAGAACGUCGUGAGACAGUUCGGUCCCUAUCUGCCGUGGGCGCUGGAGAACUGAGGGGGGCUGCUCCUAGUACGAGAGGACCGGAGUGGACGCAUCACUGGUGUUCGGGUUGUCAUGCCAAUGGCACUGCCCGGUAGCUAAAUGCGGAAGAGAUAAGUGCUGAAAGCAUCUAAGCACGAAACUUGCCCCGAGAUGAGUUCUCCCUGAGACUUUAGGUCUCCUGAAGGAACGUUGAAGACGACGACGUUGAUAGGCCGGGUGUGUAAGCGCAGCGAUGCGUUGAGCUAACCGGUACUAAUGAACCGUGAGGCUUAACCUUACAACGCCGAAG